rnacentral:rRNA from 1 species
CUUGAGUUUGAUCCUGGCUCAGGAUGAACGCUAGCUACAGGCUUAACACAUGCAAGUCGAGGGGAAACGAUAUUGGAAGCUUGCUUCCGAUAGGCGUCGACCGGCGCACGGGUGAGUAACGCGUAUCCAACCUGCCCAUCACUUGGGGAUAACCUUGCGAAAGUAAGACUAAUACCCAAUGAUAUCUCAAGAAGACAUCUGAAUGAGAUUAAAGAUUUAUCGGUGAUGGAUGGGGAUGCGUCUGAUUAGCUUGUUGGCGGGGUAACGGCCCACCAAGGCUACGAUCAGUAGGGGUUCUGAGAGGAAGGUCCCCCACAUUGGAACUGAGACACGGUCCAAACUCCUACGGGAGGCAGCAGUGAGGAAUAUUGGUCAAUGGGCGAGAGCCUGAACCAGCCAAGUAGCGUGCAGGAUGACGGCCCUAUGGGUUGUAAACUGCUUUUAUAAGGGAAUAAAGUGAGCCUCGUGAGGCUUUUUGCAUGUACCUUAUGAAUAAGGACCGGCUAAUUCCGUGCCAGCAGCCGCGGUAAUACGGAAGGUCCGGGCGUUAUCCGGAUUUAUUGGGUUUAAAGGGAGCGUAGGCCGGAGAUUAAGCGUGUUGUGAAAUGUAGACGCUCAACGUCUGCACUGCAGCGCGAACUGGUUUCCUUGAGUACGCACAAAGUGGGCGGAAUUCGUGGUGUAGCGGUGAAAUGCUUAGAUAUCACGAAGAACUCCGAUUGCGAAGGCAGCUCACUGGAGCGCAACUGACGCUGAAGCUCGAAAGUGCGGGUAUCGAACAGGAUUAGAUACCCUGGUAGUCCGCACGGUAAACGAUGGAUGUCCGCUGUUGGUCUGAAUAGGUCAGCGGCCAAGCGAAAGCAUUAAGCAUCCCACCUGGGGAGUACGCCGGCAACGGUGAAACUCA